rnacentral:rRNA from 1 species
UACGAAGGGGGCUAGCGUUGCUCGGAAUCACUGGGCGUAAAGCGCACGUAGGUGGGUCGUUAAGUUGAGGGUGAAAUCCCAGGGCUCAACCCUGGAACUGCCUUCAAUACUGGCGACCUUCGAGUCCGGGAGAGGUGAGUGGAACUGCGAGUGUAGAGGUGAAAUUCGUAGAUAUUCGGAAGAACACCAGUGGCGAAGGCGACUGACUGGACAAGUAUUGACGCUGAGGUGCGAAAGCGUGGGGAGCAAACAGG